CAUUAGCCCGCCACCCCCCCCGUCAUCCACUCAUUUCAACAUCUCUCUUACCUUUCUCUUUCCUCAUUUUAGAUCUGUUAGGGUUUUUAUUUGUCGCCGCAUUCACCUUUCCUCAAAAAAUUUGCUUCCUCAUUCAUUUUUCCCCCUACAAUUGCUUCAACCUUCAUCUAUGUCUCUCAAAUUUUGAUUUAAUCUUUUAAGCUUGAUCCCCGAUUUCCUUUCCCCGCCAUGUUUUUCCUCGUUCAAAUCGCCAACCCCAACCUCAAAGCCCCAAUUUACUUUCUCUUCUAAAUCAAUCUAAUUCAACGGCUCCAAAGUCAAUUUGUAAAUCCCGGUGGUGUUCUUAACUUCCUGUCCGUCCUUGUUUAGUUGUUGUCGGCAUCGGACGGUAGCAGCCUAGAGGUUUGUGAUCCUCAAAAGGCAGCAUAACAAUUCCUUGAUCUCCGAAGUUGCUUCAGCUUAAAUGAGAUUCCUUCGUAUCAGGUUUGCAAUGAGGCUGGAGUGAAGGCGGAUUUGUUUCCAAGUGAAGGUUGUCCCAUCAAAAUCCAUAAGUACUGCCUCCUUAAAUUAAGAAGUUUUCUCAAAGAACAGUAACACAUCAGUUUUAAGGAUGUGAUCUAAUACCAAGUUCGAUAUUACCAUCUACAUUAGAGAGUAUUUUUUUUUUAGUAUGGGAUUUGUAUAAAUUUUUUACAUGUAUAUACUAGUUGUAUUUGUUGUAAUCGUUACAAGUAGAGUAAUUGUAUUUUUGUUUAAAUGAAA